rnacentral:rRNA from 1 species
UUUCAUGGAGAGUUUGAUCCUGGCUCAGGACGAACGCUGGCGGCGUGCUUAACACAUGCAAGUCGAACGAUGACGGUG